rnacentral:rRNA from 1 species
UGGGGAAUAUUGGACAAUGGGCGCAAGCCUGAUCCAGCCAUACCGCGUGGGUGAAGAAGGCCUUCGGGUUGUAAAGCCCUUUUGUUGGGAAAGAAAAGCAGUCGAUUAAUACUCGGUUGUUCUGACGGUACCCAAAGAAUAAGCACCGGCUAACUUCGUGC